GAUGAAGAACGUAGCGAAAUGCGAUAAGUAGUGUGAAUUGCAGAAUUCAGUGAAUCAUCGAAUCUUUGAACGCACAUUGCGCCCCCCGGCAUUCCGGGGGGCAUGCCUGUUCGAGCGUCUCCAGGACGAAUCCUCGCGCGAGUGAACGCGCGGUCGUGGCGGAGGUGGCGUGCCCGAGCAGGGCGGCCACCGCGCUGGAAUCCAUGGGCGGACGCCUGCCGCGUGGCCGAGCGUGAUAUGACGCAUUGGCGCUCGUGCGCGGCGAGGCUGCCAGCCCUGGCCCGUCUGUCGGGCGGGGUAGAUCACCACGUGGGAACUCCUCGAAUCAGGUAGGGAUACCCGCUGAACUUAAGCAUAUCAAUAAGCGGAGGA
rnacentral:misc_RNA from 1 species